rnacentral:rRNA from 1 species
CCUACGGGAGGCUGCAGUGGGGAAUAUUGCGCAAUGGGCGAAAGCCUGACGCAGCGACGCCGCGUGAGGGAUGAAGGUCUUCGGAUCGUAAACCUCUGUCAGCAGGGAAGAACGGUCACUGUGCUAAUCAGCAGUGAAUUGACGGUACCUGCAAAGGAAGCACCGGCUAACUCCGUGCCAGCAGCCGCGGUAAUACGGAGGAUGCGAGCGUUAUCCGGAUUUAUUGGGUUUAAAGGGUGCGCAGGCGGAGGUGCAAGUCAGCGGUCAAAUUGCGGGGCUCAACCCCGUACUGCCGUUGAAACUGCAUCCCUUGAGUGCGCGAGAAGUAUGCGGAAUGCGUGGUGUAGCGGUGAAAUGCAUAGAUAUCACGCAGAACUCCGAUUGCGAAGGCAGCAUACCGGCGCGCAACUGACGCUCAUGCACGAAAGCGUGGGUAUCGAACAGGAUUAGAUACCCGGGUAGUC